rnacentral:rRNA from 1 species
UACGUAGGGCGCAAGCGUUGUCCGGAAUUAUUGGGCGUAAAGAGCUCGUAGGCGGCUUGUCACGUCGAUUGUGAAAGCCCGGGGCUUAACCUCGGGUCUGCAGUCGAUACGGGCUGGCUAGAGUGUGGUAGGGGAGAUCGGAAUUCCUGGUGUAGCGGUGAAAUGCGCAGAUAUCAGGAAGAACACCCGUGGCGAAAGCGGCUCUCUGGAACGGUACUGACGCUGAGACGCGAAAGCGUGGGGAGCGAACAGG